rnacentral:rRNA from 1 species
GAUGAACGCUGGCGGCGUGCCUAAUACAUGCAGGUCGAGCGAACGGACGAGAAGCUUGCUUCUCUGAUGUUAGCGGCGGACGGGUGAGUAACACGUGGAUAACCUACCUAUAAGACUGGGAUAACUUCGGGAAACCGGAGCUAAUACCGGAUAAUAUUUUGAACCGCAUGGUUCAAAAGUGAAAGACGGUCUUGCUGUCACUUAUAGAUGGAUCCGCGCUGCAUUAGCUAGAUGGUAAGGUAACGGCUUACCAAGGCAACGAUGCAUAGCCGACCUGAGAGGGUGAUCGGCCACACUGGAACUGAGACACGGUCCAGACUCCUACGGGAGGCAGCAGUAGGGAAUCUUCCGCAAUGGGCGAAAGCCUGACGGAGCAACGCCGCGUGAGUGAUGAAGGUCUUCGGAUCGUAAAACUCUGUUAUUAGGGAAGAACAUAUGUGUAAGUAACUGUGCACAUCUUGACGGUACCUAAUCAGAAAGCCACGGCUAACUACGUG